GACGAACGCUGGCGGCGUGCUUAACACAUGCAAGUCGAACGGAAAGGCCCUGCUUUUGUGGGGUGCUCGAGUGGCGAACGGGUGAGUAACACGUGAGUAACCUGCCCUUGACUUUGGGAUAACUUCAGGAAACUGGGGCUAAUACCGGAUAGGAGCUCCUGCUGCAUGGUGGGGGUUGGAAAGUUUCGGCGGUUGGGGAUGGACUCGCGGCUUAUCAGCUUGUUGGUGGGGUAGUGGCUUACCAAGGCUUUGACGGGUAGCCGGCCUGAGAGGGUGACCGGCCACAUUGGGACUGAGAUACGGCCCAGACUCCUACGGGAGGCAGCAGUGGGGAAUAUUGCACAAUGGGCGGAAGCAUGAUGCAGCAACGCCGCGUGCGGGAUGACGGCCUUCGGGUUGUAAACCGCUUUCGCCUGUGACGAAGCGUGAGGGACGGUAAUGGGUAAAGAAGCACCGGCGAACUACGU
rnacentral:rRNA from 1 species